GCGUUUUCUCUUCGGGAAACCAACAUUUAACGAAAAUCAAGCGUUUUCUCAAAUCCCCCAUUUAAGCGAAAAACACGCGUUUUCUCUUCGGAAAUCCCCCAUUUAACUUGAAAAUCACGCGUUUCUCUUCGGAAAUCCCCCAUUUAAGCGAAAAUCACGAGUUUUCUCUUCGAGAAUCCAACAUUUAACGAAAAUCACGCGUUUUCUCAAAUCCCCCAUUUAAGCGAAAAUCACGCGUUUUCUCUUCGAGAAUCCAACAUUUAACCAGAAAAUCAUGCGUUUCUCUUCGGAAAUCCCCCAUUUAAGCGAAAAUCACGCGUUUUCUCUUCGCAAAUCCCCCAUUUAACCGGAAAACCAAGCAUUUUCUCUUCGAGAAUCCCCCAUUUAACCCGAAAAUCAUGUGUUUUCUCAAAUCCCCCAUUUAAGCGAAAAUUACGCAUUUUCUCUUCGCAAAUCCCCCAAUUAACACAAAAAAACACGCAUUUUCUCUUCGAGAAUCCCCCAUUUAACCCGAAAAUCAUGUGUUUUCUCAAAUCCCCCAUUUAAGCAAAAAUCACGCAUUUUCUCUUCGCAAAUCCCCCAAUUAACCCAAAAAACCACGAGUUUUCUCUUCAGAAAUCCCACAUUUAACCAGAAAUCACACGUUUUCCCUUCGCAAAUCCCCCAUUUAAGUGAAAAUCUCGCGUUUUCUCUUUGAGAAUCGUCAAUUUAAGUGAAAAUCAAGCGUUUUCUCUUUGCAAGUCCCCCAUUUAAGUGAAGAUCACGAAUUUUCUCUUCUCAAAUACCCCAUUUAAGCGAAAAUCACGCGUUUUCUCUUCGGAAAUCCCCCAUUUAACUUGAAAAUCACGUGUUU
rnacentral:lncRNA from 7 species